rnacentral:rRNA from 1 species
AGAGUUUGAUCAUGGCUCAGAAUGAACGCUGGCGGCAUGGAUUAGGCAUGCAAGUCGAACGAGAAAGCGCCUUCGGGCGCGAGUAAAGUGGCGCAAGGGUGAGUAACACGUGAGGAACCUGCCCCCGAGCCCGGAACAAGCCUGGGAAACCGGGUCUGAAACCGGAUGACGGCCCCCGGCCGCAUGGUCGGCGGGCCAAAUAUUCAUAGCUUGGGGAUGGCCUCGCGUCCCAUUAGCUUGUUGGCGGGGUGACGGCCCACCAAGGCGACGACGGGUAGGUGGUCUGAGAGGAUGGUCACCCACACUGGGACUGAGACACUGCCUAGACUCCUACGGGAGGCUGCAGUCGAGAAUCUUCCGCAAUGGGCGCAAAGCCUGACGGAGCGAUGCCGCGUGAGGGACGAAGGCCCUAGGGUUGUAAACCCCUGUCGUCCGGGACGAAACCAAUGACGGUACCGGGCAAGAAAGCCACGGCUAACUACGUGCCAGCCGCAGC